rnacentral:rRNA from 1 species
UACAUGGGGUGCAAACGUUGCUCGGAAUCAUUGGGCGUAAAGCGCGCGUAGGCGGUUACUUAAGUCGAAUGUGAAAGCCCUCGGCUUAACUGAGGAAGUGCAUCCGAAACUGAGUAGCUAGAGUACGAAAGAGGGUCGCGGAAUUCCCGGUGUAGAGGUGAAAUUCGUAGAUAUCGGGAGGAACACCGGUGGCGAAGGCGGCGACCUGGGUAGAUACUGACGCUGAGGUGCGAAAGCGUGGGGAGCAAACCGG